AGUGAACGCUGGCGGUAGGCCUAACACAUGCAAGUCGAACGGCAGCACAGUAAGAGCUUGCUCUUACGGGUGGCGAGUGGCGGACGGGUGAGGAAUACAUCGGAAUCUACUUUUUCGUGGGGGAUAACGUAGGGAAACUUACGCUAAUACCGCAUACGACCUACGGGUGAAAGCAGGGGAUCUUCGGACCUUGCGCGAUUGAAUGAGCCGAUGUCGGAUUAGCUAGUUGGCGGGGUAAAGGCCCACCAAGGCGACGAUCCGUAGCUGGUCUGAGAGGAUGAUCAGCCACACUGGAACUGAGACACGGUCCAGACUCCUACGGGAGGCAGCAGUGGGGAAUAUUGGACAAUGGGCGCAAGCCUGGUCCAGCCAUACCGCGUGGGUGAAGAAGGCCUUCGGGUUGUAAAGCCCUUUUGUUGGGAAAGAAAAGCAGCAGGUUAAUACCCCGCUGUUCUGACGGUACCCAAAGAGUAAGCACCGGCUAACUUCGUG
rnacentral:rRNA from 1 species